GAUGAACGCUGGCGGCGUGCCUAAUACAUGCAAGUCGAGCGAACGGACGAGAAGCUUGCGUCUCUGAUGUUAGCGGCGGACGGGUGAGUAACACGUGUAUAACCUACCUAUAAGACUGGGAUAACUUCGGGAAACCGGAGCUAAUACCGGAUAAGAUUUUGAACCGCAGGGUUCAAAAGUGAAAGACGGUCUUGCGGUCACUUAUAGAUGGAUCCGCGCUGCAUUAGCUAGUUGGUAAGGUAACGGCUUACCAAGGCAACGAUGCAUAGCCGACCUGAGAGGGUGAUCGGCCACACUGGAACUGUGACACGGUCCAGACUCCUACGGGAGGCAGCAGUAGGGAAUCUUCCGCAAUGGUCGAAAGCCUGACGGAGCAACGCCGCGUGAGUGAUGAAGGUCUUCGGAUCGUAAAACUCUGUUAUUAGGGAAGAACAUAUGUGUAAGUAACUGUGCACAUCUUGACGGUACCUAAUCAGAAAGCCACGGCUAACUACGUG
rnacentral:rRNA from 1 species